rnacentral:ribozyme from 1 species
GAUGAAAGAAAGAAAGAAAGGAAAAGAAAAAGAAAGAAGAAUGCAAGUUACACAAG